ACGUACGUCGUACGAGGAGUUAGUUAGUACGUAUGGCUCGAGGACGAACGCUGGCGGCGUGCCUAACACAUGCAAGUCGAGCGGAGAUGAUGUGAGGAAGUUUCGGAUGGAAUCACAUUAUUUAGCGGCGGACGGGUGAGUAACGCGUGAGCGACCAACCUUGCACAGGGGGAUAACGGACCGAAAGGUUCACUAAUACCGCAUGAGACCACGGUGUUGCAUGACACAGGGGUCAAAGGAGCAAUCCGGUGCAAGACGGGCUCGCGUCCGAUUAGGUAGUUGGUGGGGUAAUGGCCCACCAAGCCUAUGAUCGGUAGCCGACCUGAGAGGGUGAUCGGCCACAUUGGAACUGAGAUACGGUCCAAACUCCUACGGGAGGCAGCAGUGGGGAAUAUUGGGCAAUGGGGGGAAAAACCCCCUGACCCAGCAACGCCGCGUGAAGGAAGAAGGUUUUCGGAUUGUAAACUUCUGUCCUUGGUGAAGAGAAGAAGACGGUAGCCAAGGAGGAAGCCCCGGCUAACUACGUGCCAGCAGCCGC
rnacentral:rRNA from 1 species